GACGUAGGGGGCAAGCGUUGUCCGGAAUCACUGGGCGUAAAGCGCGUGUAGGCGGUUUGGUCAGUCCCGUGUGAAAGCCUCCGGCUCAACUGGAGGAUGCCGCGGGAUACUACCGGACUCGAGGACAGGAGAGGGAAGUGGAAUUCCCGGUGUAGCGGUGAAAUGCGUAGAUAUCGGGAGGAACGCCAGUGGCGAAGGCGGCUUCCUGGCCUGUUCCUAACGCUGAGACGCGAAAGCUGGGGGAGCGAACGGG
rnacentral:rRNA from 1 species